rnacentral:misc_RNA from 1 species
UACGAAGGGGGCUAGCGUUGUUCGGAAUCACUGGGCGUAAAGGGCGCGUAGGCGGCCGUUCAAGUCGGGGGUGAAAGCCUGUGGCUCAACCACAGAAUUGCCUUCGAUACUGGACGGCUCGAGACCGGAAGAGGUUAGUGGAACUGCGAGUGUAGAGGUGAAAUUCGUAGAUAUUCGCAAGAACACCAGUGGCGAAGGCGGCUGACUGGUCCGGUUCUGACGCUGAGGCGCGAAAGCGUGGGGAGCAAACAGG